CAGCCGCCGCGGUAAUACGGAGGAUCCAAGCGUUAUCCGGAAUCAUUGGGUUUAAAGGGUCCGUAGGCGGUCUUGUAAGUCAGUGGUGAAAGCCCAUCGCUCAACGGUGGAACGGCCAUUGAUACUGCAGGACUUGAAUUAUUGGGAAGUAACUAGAAUAUGUAGUGUAGCGGUGAAAUGCUUAGAGAUUACAUGGAAUACCAAUUGCGAAGGCAGGUUACUACCAAUUGAUUGACGCUGAUGGACGAAAGCGUGGGUAGCGAACAGGAUUAGAUACCCCGGUAGUCCCUGUCUCUUAUAU
rnacentral:rRNA from 1 species